UACGUAGGGCGCAAGCGUUGUCCGGAAUUAUUGGGCGUAAAGAGCUCGUAGGUGGUCUGUUGCGUCCGCUGUGAAAACCUAAGGCUUAACCUUGGGCCUGCAGUGGAUACGGGCAGACUAGAGGUAGGUAGGGGAGAAUGGAAUUCCCGGUGUAGCGGUGAAAUGCGCAGAUAUCGGGAAGAACACCUAUGGCGAAGGCAGCUCUCUGGGACGGUACUGACGCUGAGACGCGAAAGCGUGGGGAGCGAACAGG
rnacentral:rRNA from 1 species